ACGGAAGGCAGCAGUGGGGAAUAUUGGGCAAUGGGCGAAAGCCUGACCCAGCAACGCCGCGUGAAGGAAGAAGGUCUUCGGAUUGUAAACUUCUUUUAUGAGGGACGAAGGAAGUGACGGUACCUCAUGAAUAAGCCACGGCUAACUACGUGCCAGCAGCCGCGGUAAUACGUAGGUGGCAAGCGUUAUCCGGAUUUACUGGGUGUAAAGGGCGCGUAGGCGGGGAUGCAAGUCAGAUGUGAAAUCCAUGGGCUCAACUCAUGAACUGCAUUUGAAACUGUAUCUCUUGAGCGCUGGAGAGGUAGAUGGAAUUCCUUGUGUAGCGGUGAAAUGCGUAGAUAUAAGGAAGAACACCAGUGGCGAAGGCGAUCUACUGGACAGUAACUGACGCUGAGGCGCGAAAGCGUGGGGAGCAAACAGGAUUAGAUACCCUGGUA
rnacentral:rRNA from 1 species